GCCUAUGGCCACACCACCCUGAAAGCGCCCGAUGUCGUCUGAUUUCGGAAGCUAAGCAGGGACGGGCUUGGUUAGUACCUGGAUGGGAGACCGCCUGGGAAUAC
rnacentral:rRNA from 1 species